ACUAGGGAUCGGGCGAUCUGCUUUAUAUUGACUCGCUCGGCACCUUACGAGAAAUCAAAGUCUUUGGGUUCUGGGGGGAGUAUGUUCGCAAGGCUGAAACUUAAAGGAAUUGACGGAAGGGCACCACCAGGAGUGGAGCCUCCGGCUUAAUUUGACUCAACACGGGGAAACUCACCAGGUCCAGACACAAUAAGGAUUGACAGAUUGAGAGCUCUUUCUUGAUUUUGUGG
rnacentral:rRNA from 1 species